ACAUGCCUACAAAAUAGAAUUAAUGCGACAGAUCCCAUUAGAACUCUGUUGUUAAGCGUGCUUAGGAUGGAGUAGUACUGGAAUGGAUGGUUUCUCGAGAAGUCCUAGUGUUUUACAUGCC
rnacentral:rRNA from 1 species